UCCUACGGGACGCAGCAGUCGGGAAUAUUGCGCAAUGGAGGAAACUCUGACGCAGUGACGCCGCGUAUAGGAAGAAGGUUUUCGGAUUGUAAACUAUUGUCGAUAGGGAAGAAAAAAGACUGUACCUAUCAAGAAAGCUCCGGCUAACUACGUGCCAGCAGCCGCGGUAAUACGUAGGGGGCAAGCGUUAUCCGGAUUUACUGGGUGUAAAGGGAGCGUAGACGGCUGUGCAAGUCUGAAGUGAAAUGCCGGGGCUCAACCCCGGAACUGCUUUGGAAACUGUACAGCUAGAGUGCAGGAGGGGG
rnacentral:rRNA from 1 species